rnacentral:snoRNA from 1 species
GUGCAUCUCUGACAGCCCUGGAGCAGCUCGUGUCUGCUGCUAAGGUUUCCACUACAGAUGUAAGAAAAAGGUCCUCGCGCUGUCUGUCUGGUCGUGGCAGCCAAGAUUGAAUAUGGAUACAGGA